GACGAACCGUACGAACGUUAUUCGGAAUUACUGGGCUUAAAGGGCUCGUAGGCGGCCAACUAAGUCGGACGUGAAAUCCCCAGGCUCAACCUGGGAACUGCGUCCGAUACUGGAUGGCUUGAAUCCGGGAGAGGGAUGCAGAAUUCCAGGUGUAGCGGUGAAAUGCGUAGAUAUCUGGAGGAAUACCGGUGGCGAAGGCGGCAUCCUGGACCGGCAUUGACGCUGAGGAGCGAAAGCCAGGGGAGCAAACGGG
rnacentral:rRNA from 1 species